CGCCGUCAAUUUGGUCAGUCCCCGUUAAAAUGCCCUCUAUAGGGCCGUCUCAAUUUCACUGAUAAAGAAUGGCACUGUAUCGCCGCCUUUCUCGGAAUCGCCAUGUCUUCCGUCGGCACUCUAUCGCUGCUCUGUAUUCUUCCGGCGACCUAACAAACCCUAGCCCAACUGUUCUUCAUUCUCCGUUAAUAAACCCCUUUCAAUUUUCUUCUUCUGGUGAUCAUAAUCACACCCUCAAUUCUAGAAAAUUGCUGACAUUUUACUCUCCACAUUCUUCAAGAAUUGAACUUUCAGGGUUCCGCCAAGUUCUUCACUUUUCAACCUUAGCUAAUUCGGAAGAGAAGAAGAAGAAUGAGCAGCAAAAGCCUUCUUGGGUUGAUACUUAUUUGCCCCAAAAAAUUAGACCUUAUGCCCAUCUUGCCCGACUUGAUAAACCUAUUGGCACUUGGUUACUCGCUUGGCCUUGCAUGUGGUCGAUUGCUUUGGCUGCUCCACCUGGGAGCCUCCCUGAUGUGAAAAUGAUGACACUAUUUGGUUGCGGGGCCUUGCUUUUGCGAGGUGCUGGAUGUACAGUUAACGAUCUUCUUGAUCGAGAUAUCGAUACUAAGGUGGAAAGAACAAGGUCGAGGCCAGUUGCUAGUGGUGUCUUGACACCCUUUCAGGGACUCACUUUUCUUGGGUUCCAAUUGCUAUUAGGUCUUGGGAUUCUUUUGCAAUUGAAUAAUUAUAGCCGCAUUUUGGGUGCUUCAUCCCUGUUACUGGUCUUCUCAUACCCCCUCAUGAAGAGGUUUACAUUUUGGCCUCAAGCCUUUCUUGGUUUAACUUUCAACUGGGGAGCUUUGUUAGGUUGGGCUGCGAUUAAAGGAAGUAUUGAUCUUGCAGUUGUGCUUCCUUUAUAUGCGUCCGGUGUGUUUUGGACGCUUGUAUAUGACACAAUAUAUGCACAUCAGGAUAAAGAAGAUGAUCUCAAAGUGGGUGUCAAAUCUACAGCCUUGAGAUUUGGAGAUUCCACAAAAGAAUGGAUCAGUGGGUUUGGAUUAGCAUGCAUCAGCAGUCUUGCUCUUUCCGGAAUUAAUGCUGAUAUUGGAUGGCCAUACUACGCCUUUUUGACAGCUGCUUCUGGCCAAUUGGCUUGGCAAAUUUGGAUUGUUGACCUUUCAUCUCGUGCAGACUGCAACAGAAAAUUUGUUUCCAACAAAUGGUUUGGUGCAUUUAUCUUUGGUGGGAUUCUCUUUGGACGACUAUUGUGACAAUAGUAUGCGCUGCAGAUAAAGAACAAGUCUUUACCAAUUUAACUGGCAGGAGCAGUGUACGAUGGGAGCUCAACGUUGGAGCUUGCGGCAAAUUUCAAGUGGUGACCAAAUAAUUUGUUCCUUGCAGCAUCCAAAGCUGUAUCUGGGCUGUACGAGAAGCAUGUGCAGGAUUUGUGACCGAUCCCAUUUGUUUGAAGAUACAGUAAAAGUUUUCUCUUAGGGGUGCAGACAUACAACUUCUUUUUCUUUUCCUUUUCCUUUUUUCCUCCAUGCCAUCGUGAAAGGUAGAAGAUUAUAGCUUUCUUUAUAGAACAAUUCACUAGAGACUUUUCUAAUAUCAGCUUGCAUCUGUUGUAGUUUCCCUUUGCCCGUUGUUCGGGAAUAUUUUUUUUUUUGCUGAAAUAUUCAUUGAAGACUCACCCUCCCCCGACCCGGGGGGUUUGAACAUGUAUCAUUUCCUUGUAAUGUGUUCUCUUAAUAAGUG